GGCUAUAUUAUGUUGAAACACCAGUUCUCGUACAGUCACUGGUUAAGCAAAAUUGUGCUUGGUCAGUACUUACAUGGGUGACCACUUGGGAAUACCAGGUGCUGUAAG